UUUUUUUUCUCGGUUUUGUUUUCAGGUUUUCAUCAUUAUUCAUUUGGUGGCUAAAUAUUACUCAUGGGACGUUUCUAGAGAAUGCAAGACCAUGUUUGAGUGAGAAAUUGGUCUCGAUGAAAUUGAGAGUUCAAUGAACAGCACAUACAAUGCAAGUAAAUCUACCUACUCAAACCCAUCUUCUAUUUCUAAAGCAGAAGGGCUUUCAGUGGCUGAAACAAGUGAGUGAUUAAGUUUUUAUCACCCGUAUUAUUUGUUAUCACUAGGGAAAGAAAGCUGAGUAGAAAAAGUAGAAUGCCAAAUGGAAAAAAAAAGAUUAGUAAGCAGCGUUAUUAUUUUAAAAUAGAAAACAAAAAUUAACAUUAUUGUUAAACCGAGCCAUUCUCGAGAACAUGAAAUAGAAUUGGAUAGCUGCCAUGCAUCGUGU